rnacentral:rRNA from 1 species
UCUACAGCCAUACCACCCUGAAUGUGCCUGAUCUCGGAAGCUAAGCAGGGUUGGGCCUGGUUAGUACUUGGAUGGGAGCUGAUGAAA